AUCAACGCUGGCGGCGUGCCUAACACAUGCAAGUCGAACGGGAAAACGGGAGCAAUCCUGUGAGUACAGUGGCGUACGGGUGAGUAACACGUGACUAACCUACCCUCGAGUGGGGGAUAACCCCGGGAAACCGGGGCUAAUACCGCAUAACAUCGAGAGAUCAAAGGAGCAAUCCGCUUGAGGAGGGGGUCGCGGCUGAUUAGCUAGUUGGUGAGGUAACGGCUCACCAAGGCGAUGAUCGGUAGCCGGCCUGAGAGGGUGAUCGGCCACACUGGAACUGAGACACGGUCCAGACUCCUACGGGAGGCAGCAGUGGGGAAUUUUGCGCAAUGGGCUAACGCCUGACGCAGCAACGCCGCGUGGAGGAUGAAGGUCUUUGGAUUGUAAACUCCUGUCAGCAGGGAAAAAGCGAAUCGGCCUAACACGCCGGUGAGUUGAUUGUACCUGCAGAGGAAGCCCCGGCUAACUCUGUGCCAGCAGCCGCGGUAAUACAGAGGGGGCAAGCGUUAUUCGGAAUUAUUGGGCGUAAAGGGCGCGUAGGCGGCUUGGCAAGUGGAUGGUGAAAUCCCUCGGCUUAACCGAGGAACUGCCGUCCAAACUGCUUUGCUUGAGGCCGGGAGGGGCGAGUGGAAUUCCCAGUGUAGCGGUGAAAUGCGUAGAUAUUGGGAGGAACACCAGUGGCGAAGGCGGCUCGCUGGACCGGUUCUGACAGCUAAAGCGCGAAAGCGUGGGGAGCAAACAGGAUUAGAUACCCCUGGUAGUCCACGCUGUAAACGAUGGGCCUAGGUGUCCGGGGUAUUGACCCCCUGUGUGCCGCAGCUAACGCAUUAAGUGCCCCGCCUGGGGAGUACGGUCGCAAGAUUAAAACUCAAAGGAAUUGACGGGGGCCCGCACAAGCGGUGGAGCAUGUGGUUCAAUUCGACGCAACGCGAAGAACCUUACCUGGGCUAGACAACGGCGGACAGCCCUAGAAAUAGGGUUUUCCCUUCGGGGACUGCCGGUUCAGGUGCUGCAUGGCUGUCGUCAGCUCGUGCCGUGAGGUGUUGGGUUAAGUCCCGCAACGAGCGCAACCCUUAUCUUUAGUUGCUAAGUCGCAAGACAGCACUCUAAAGAGACUGUCGGCCACAAGCCGGAGGAAGGUGGGGAUGACGUCAAGUCCUCAUGGCCUUUAUGUCCAGGGCUACACACGUGCUACAAUGGGCGGUACAAAGCGUCGCAAACCCGCGAGGGGGAGCCAAUCGCAAAAAACCGCUCCCAGUUCGGAUUGCAGUCUGCAACUCGGCUGCAUGAAGCUGGAAUCGCUAGUAAUCGCGGAUCAGCACGCCGCGGUGAAUACGUUCCCGGGCCUUGUACACACCGCCCGUCACAUCACGAAAGCAGGUUGCACUAGAAGCCGGUUCGCUGACCGCAAGGAGGCAGCCGUCCAAGGUGUGGCUUGUGAUUGGGGUG
rnacentral:rRNA from 1 species